rnacentral:rRNA from 1 species
GUUGAACGCUGGCGGCAUGCCUUACACAUGCAAGUCGAACGGCAGCGGGGACUUCGGUCCGCCGGCGAGUGGCGAACGGGUGAGUAAUAUAUCGGAACGUACCUUUCAGUGGGGGAUAACGUAGCGAAAGUUACGCUAAUACCGCAUAUUCCGUGAGCAGGAAAGCAGGGGAUCGCAAGACCUUGCGCUGAUUGAGCGGCCGAUAUCAGAUUAGCUAGUUGGUGAGGUAAAGGCUCACCAAGGCGACGAUCUGUAGCGGGUCUGAGAGGAUGAUCCGCCCCACUGGGACUGAGACACGGCCCAGACUCCUACGGGAGGCAGCAGUGGGGAAUUUUGGACAAUGGGGGCAACCCUGAUCCAGCCAUGCCGCGUGAGUGAAGAAGGCCUUCGGGUUGUAAAGCUCUUUCGGCCGGGAAGAAAUCGCGCAGGCUAAUACCCUGUGUGGAUGACGGUACCGGAAUAAGAAGCACCGGCUAACUACGUGCCAGCCGCCGCAGUAACAC